GGCUGCGCGCCCGGCUGUCGCAGCCGCAGUUUCAGCUGCGGCGACGGCUAGGGGCGGGGCCGGUGGCUGCCGAGCCCGGCAUCUCCUUGAAACUGACAGACUUCAUUACUUGUGGAGAAGAGUGGUUCUCUCUUCUACAGGAUUUCAGAGUUGCCUUCAGCCUUAUAGACGCCCACCAAGUGAAGACUUCUGUCCGUAAUUGUUCAUUUUAUCUACAUGUCUGAUCGUCUUGAACAUGGUUACUGAUACACCCCGGCCUGGAUUCUUCCUUUGGGGAAGUGCUAGAAUCAUUGGACUCUGUCUUUUUCCCCUCCAAUAUUAAUUUGGUCACUAUGGUUACAUGAAGUUUUGAAUAAUUGACGGUUUUUUAUAAUAGACAUGCUUUGUGUAUAAUCAGAAGCUUAUCAAAAAUAUGUGAGGAUAUCAUGUAUAAUUACAUAUUUUAAAUUUUGUUAAAUUAUACACAAAAAUGUCAUAUUUUCAAACAAUUCACUCUUUUUUCCACAUUGAAAAAAAUACAGUUUUAUUUAAAAAAUGUACAGAAAAUUGUAAAGAGCUUACUAUUAUAGAAAAGCUAUCCUGGUUUACAGUCACAGAAGUGUUUUUAUUUUAAAUAAUGCUAUUCUUCUAAGAAUAUAUUUUUUUAAAUUUGUGCCUAUCUCCGAAACCAUAAAAUUUUAGCACUACUGUAGAAUUUCUAAAGAGUAGUACAUUUCUGCUGCCAUUUGGAGGAGCCUGCAUCACAGAGUAAUGAGGCGUUGAGUCUGACUUGCAAAGAUGCCUCCAUUUGAAAUUCAGACACCCUCCCCCCAGAAGAAUUGUUAGUCAAAUUCCCAUAAUUAAUGAAUUGUGUCUUCCACAUUUCUCUUGUACUAAAUCUAAUACAAGUUACAAUUACAACAAAUUAUUUUGUAGAAGCUCUGAUGACAUUCUUACACCACUAAAAAAAUAGAUAUUCUGAAGGUGAAAGUGAAACUGUCAGCCCUUGGCAUCCAGAGUUAACAAACUACUUAAGAGUUCUGUUGAUAGAUAUCUAGGUAAUUGUGAGAUUAAAACCAACAGUGUGGGAGGUCUCCGUGUUUUUCUAAUGAAACCAUUUAAGUUCUGUUAAAACCCAUGAAGGAUAAUCAUGGUCCCUUUUAAUCCAAAUUUUUAAAUAAUAACUAUAAAUAUUCUCUAGUCUUAGAAGUUAGAGAAAGCAGAAGUAUAUGAGAAUUUCAUUCACUUUCUCCUUAAACCUUAUAUCAGAGUUAUGAAGAAUUAGCAAAGUUCACCAAUAUGAGAUUUUACCCAGCUGAUACCUUGUUCUGAUGAAAUACUAGAAAAAUGUUUUGAAGAAGUCAAAGGCAGAUGUGAGAGUUAAAGGAAAUUUCAGUUAAUGAACAGAGAUCGAUUAAAAUCAUCUCACCAUGAUUGUGAAGUCUUGAAUUCUAAUUUUGCUUUUGCAAGUGUAAAUGCUAAUAUGUUUUACUUAAUUAAAAAAAUUUGUAUAAAUAAAUACACAGCGCAAUUUCUAUCAAUAAGAUGAGAGUUUGCAUUUAGAGUGGCCCUCAAAAUUAAAUAAAUUUUUAUGCCUUUACAAAAUGUAACUGAACGGUGUCUAAAAGCCAAGAUGAACACUUUAUCUCU